rnacentral:rRNA from 1 species
GACCUCGGAUCAGGUAGGAAUACCCGCUGAACUUAAGCAUAUCAAUAAGCGGAGGAAAAGAAACCAACAGGGAUUACCUCAGUAACGGCGAGUGAAGCGGUAAUAGCUCAAAUUUGAAAUCUGGCUCUUUCAGGGUCCGAGUCGUAAUUUGUAGAGGAUGUUUCGGGCACGGUUACGGUUUAAAUUUCUUGGAACAGAAUGUCAAAGAGGGUGAGAGUCCCGUCUUGAACCGAUUACUUCGUCCAUGUGAAACUCCUUCGACGAGUCGAGUUGUUUGGGAAUGCAGCUCAAAAUGGGUGGUAAAUUUCAUCUAAAGCUAAAUAUUGGCCAGAGACCGAUAGCGCACAAGUAGAGUGAUCGAAAGAUGAAAAGCACUUUGAAAAGAGAGUUAAACAGUAUGUGAAAUUGUUGAAAGGGAAGCGCUUGUAAUCAG